rnacentral:lncRNA from 1 species
AAAUUUUCCUGUAUGGCUUUUUAAUCAAGCCGACGAACAAAAUAAUGCGCAUGUUAAAGCAGAUGUGGUCCUGUUUAUUGACGGAAAAUCCAGGAGGCUCAUAAUUGAUGGUUGCUGGGCCUGAAAUGGCUAGUUUGGUAAAUGAAUUUGAAAAUGACACCGACUGCUUUGUAUACACUAACGAAUCUAAUAAACCUUAUCAUGAACAAAUAUUAUCCUUCCAAGAAUCAUUCCAUACAGACUGCAGAUUGAAUAGCUGAGGAUAGGUUUUGGCACUAGGAAGAACUUCCGAUAUAUCAGUUCAUGGAUGUUGCCUUGUCCUAGG